AUGCUCCUUUCAGCAGCACACAUACUAAAACUGGAAUGAUACAGAGAAAAUUAGCAUGCCCCUACACAAGGAUGACAUGCAAAUUCAUGAAGCAGUCCACAUUUUU